AAGCCCCAGAAGAGGUUCAAGGGGGAAGAAGCUGAGCUUCCAGACAAACACCAGGGAGUCGCUGAGGCCCUCAGACCAACGGCCUGCAAGUAGCUGAAGCCUGCAGUGACAAUAACAAGCCUCGAACAGAAAUGACCCAUCUGCAGGGCAUUGCUGUGUGGCUGAGCAGCUCAGGGCCUCCAGGCAUCCUGGCAGCACCAAGCCCAAGCCCCACAGACCGGGCAACCCAGGAAUUGAGUCGGGUGAUUUAAGGGAACAGCUGUUGGAAACAGAACAGGCCGGCUGCCUGGGUGCUAUGAGUGGAUCCCUCGAUGCAGGAACACGCUCAGUCAGGAGCGGCCCGCCUUCCACUCAGCUAAGCACCCCUUGGUACAGGUCUGCGAGGAACUGCAAGGGACCCGGACCGCACAUGUGCAGCUAUUCCUACCUGGCCUUUCAUUCGCUCCUGGAAACGGGCAGCUCGGCUGGGAGGACAUUCUCACCAGGCACGUAUGAGAAGGGAGAGGAUCCCGCCACUUCACAAUCCUACUGUGCUUCAAAUUCCGAUGUGAGACAGAAGAGGCACAGUUCCGAUGUAGCCACUUAGUAUGUGAAUUACGUAUGAUCUUUAUACCGGAGACUCCUCUCCGUGCCUAACUGCUGGAAAGGGCACAAUAAAAACACAUUCACAGCCCUACAGAAAUAGCAGCAGCCAUUAAAGUCGCACUACUGAUUAAAGACAAUCUCAUAAUUGAAUGUGAUUACUUUGGUCUCCUUGCAGCACGAUGAUCCCGUCUUACCCUGAGGAAAACAUUCUGAGACGCCGAGCAGAUGCCUGGAACCUCAGAUAGCACCAAGUCCUGUUUAGGCUCUGCUUUUUCCUAUAUAUGCAUGCCUGUCAUAAAUUUAAUUCAUAAAUUAGGCACCACAAGAGGUUACCAACAACUAAUAAUAAAAUAGGACAAUUAUAAUAGUAUAUGAUAAUAAAAUUUUUUAAUUUCUAAAUUAUGUCCUGAAUUGUGAUGGUUACCUGCAGGUAACCAAAAAGCAUCUCCCAGUGAUACAAAAAUACAUAUUUUUGUUUGCUUACAACUACUGAUAACAGCAGGAAAUACCUCAGCAGGACGUCAUCACAGAGGACAGAGCCUCUGAGGGGAGGCUCCGCAGCGACUUCAGCGACAAGGCCUCCAGCCCGGGCUUGCCUGUGGGCUCCGGCCCUGUGUUUCUCGGAUCUCCGAGCCGCAGAACUCUGAGAAGAUCUUCGGGAUGCAACGCUCACCACCCUGCAGAGCGGCCUGACCGACCGAGGCAGGCAGUUACCGCAGCCCGGCGCACCUCUGCCAGCGAAAACCCAGUCAACGCAGGCCUCAGAAGCAGGCGGUGCUCUGUGCACGCGUGCACUCUCCAGCCAGAAAUGAAACAUCUUCGAAUCGUCCCGGGGCAAGCUGGGGUGGGGGCGCUUCCCAGCUCACUCCAGAACUCUUCUUACCGAUUUUGGCAAAUUUUCCCCUCCAGAAUGAAACUGCCUUCCACCGCAGAGGGCACCUGGGAGGAAAUAGGCUUUGCCACAGCGCCAUCUAGUGGUACCUGAAGAGAAUUCAAAAGUUUUUUUGUUAUGUGGUGGUUUUGUGGGGUUUUCUCAUUUUUCCUUUUUUCUUUACCCUCAGUGAAAAGGAGGAAGGGAGCGUUUGGGACCCUGGGGCGUGGACGUUAAUGACGGCAGUGCAGACCCUGCCACCGCUCAUUCUGGGCGGGACCGGCACCCACCAGAGCAGGUUGAGAUGGGGAGGCACCAGCCACACCAACACCCAGGGCUGGGCCAGCACACGCCCACGUCCAGUCUAACAAUACACGGGCGAAUGACCCGAACAGACCCUUCUCAAGAGAAGAACAAACGGCCCCUAAGUGUAUGAAAAAAUGUUCAAUGUCUCCAACCAUCACAGAAAUGCAAAUCAAAAUUACACCGCCAUCCUAUCUCUCCCCAGUCAGAAAGGCUGUCAUCGAAAGACAAAAGGGAAAAAGAACCCCUUAUGCUGCUGCUGGGAAUGCAAGGAAUGUAAACAGUGUGGUCCCAGAAAAUCAGUAAGGAGCGUCCUCAAAAGCUGAAAACAGAGCCACUGUUUCAUCCAGCUACACAACUCUCAAGAUAGCCCUGCAAAAGUAGUCAGCAAGCUACAGAGACACCCACAUAACCGUGUUUAUCGCAGCACAAUUCACAACAGCUAAGCUAUGGAAAUAGCUUAUGUGCCUGCCAACUGGUGAAUGGAUAAAAAAAUGUGAUAUAUAUUCAUACAAUGGAGUAUUAUUCAGCCACGAAGAAGGAUGAAAUCAUGUCAUUUGCAGGAAAAUGGAUGGAAUUGGAGGCCAUCAUGUUAAGCAAAAUAAACCAGAGUCUGAAAGACAAAAAUCACAUGUUUUCUCUCAUAUGUGGAAGCUUUUCAAAAAGCCAACAGGAAAGCAGAAGGGAGGCUACUAGAGAAGCUGGAGGAGGGCAGCAGGGACGAUGCGUGUCCCCAGACCCGCCACCAGUCCCUCCAGCUGAGGCAGCUGUUUGCUGGAUCAGUUUUCCUUCUCCAAAUUCAGAAGCUACACACAGUUCAUGCUGGCUUUAAGGAUGUCAUUUAAUAUAGUCACAUGUAGUUCAGUAAUUUUCAAGGGUCUGACUGUAAGGAUUUUAUAUAAAGUAUGCUUCAGGUUUUGCUUCUUGGUUUGGUGUUUUGCUUUUGGUUUUGUGUCCACUUGGAGCGGUGAGCUACAUCUCUGGCCCUUUUUUACUUUUAUUGUGAGGCAGGGUGCCAAGUCAUCAGGCUGCACACACUGGGCUCGAACUUGCAGUGCCCCUGCCUCAGCCUCCCGGAAUGCUGGGAUGACAGGUGCGCGCCACCCCCGGGUAGUUCAGCGAUUUGGAAGGGACACUAUCUGGUCUGGAUGGGGGAUGUGUGCAGUCAAGCGCACCAUCCUUCCAACGUCAAAUACCGCACAGGCGAGGGGUGGCAGGACGCAGCGAGAUGACGGGUGGCUCCACUCCUAGUAUCUCACUCCUCUUUUUCUCCAAGAGAAACGUAAAUUUCAUUUUAUAAUUUUGGUUUCAAUUUUUCUAAACUCAGUGCCGCCGGGACAAUGGCGCUCUGUGGAUGCCCGGGCCACAGCUCUCUAAUCGGCUGCUCUCUUACUUAGCUGCUGCUUUCCCUUUCCACCCUGCCCAGAGGACUCCCUUACGGGUCCGCUCUUCCGCUGCGUUUGCUGCCCCUCUGUACUCUUCCCCCAUUUCCAGGCGGCUCGUUGAUCUCUUGUUCUUGCUCCGUGCUGCCUUCCGGUGCUGGGGAUGGAACCCAGGCCUUGCGCAUCCCAACGAAGGGCUGCACCCCCAAGCUCCAGCCCUGGGGCACUCGGCUCCUUGCCUCAGUUUCUUGGCCGUCCUGUUUCACCUAUCUGUCCCUCUAGUUCUGCCUUGGGCUUUAUGCUGUCCCAUCCGUGCUCUAAUGGAGUGACACCCUUGGGUGUCUGAUCUCUGAGUCCGUGAGCUUCUUCCUUAGGAGUCUGGGGAAAGCAGAGCAUCAGGCUCCCUCCACUUCAACCCCAGAGCCUCUGGUGUGGGCCGAGCAACCUCCCAUCCCUGCCCCAGACAUCCCACCUCCAAGCUCCUCUAGGCCACAGCCUUGGGAUGGGCGUGUGGUGGGGAAGGGCAGGAAGCCCCUCCUCUCUUGUUUCCUGUCUGUGAUGCCUGACAUCCUGGCCCUCCCCUCCUGGGGGCUCCUGGGGGCCGUGCUGUUGCUCCUGGUCCCCCAAGGAAGCAGCAGGCAGGGACUGUCCCACCGCAGCCCAGGGCAGAGGCAGGAGCCAGGCCAGCAAGCUCUAUGCCCCUGAGGUUCGAGUUUCCAGCAGCCUCUCUUCCCUCCUUUGUGGGGCUGCUCUCUCAGGAGGCCAGCAGCACAGCCGCCACCUUCCCAUCCGCACUACCGCCUCCUCUCCAGGCUCCGCUCCAGAUGGCAAGGUGCAGCUGCAGAAGGAAAGGGCUCCUUGAGAAAUUAGAGAAACAAGCACCUAAAGGCAGCGGAAAUGAUUUCUAGAAAAACGUGACCUUGCCAAACCCACCACAACCCCCAGGAUUACGGAAUUGAGGAUCCAUGGAAGAAAAUGAGACCCAAGGGUGCUUCUUCUAAUCCAGGUCCGGGUGUCCCCAAACUGGAGCCCUCGAAGCCUUCACAGUCAGCGUGGUGCAGGAAAUGACCUGAUUUGCUGCAGAGAUGACUCGUUUUGGAUUUGAGGGUACCAGGAAGAUGCAAACACUGCAAGUACAUGAAGCAAAAUGGAUAGCACGAAAUAGUUUCAGUCCUUGAUAGAU